UAUGUAGGGGGCAAGCGUUGUCCGGAUUUAUUGGGCGUAAAGAGCGUGUAGGCGGCCAGGUAGGUCGGCUGUGAAAACUCGAGGCUCAACCUCGAGCUGUCGGCCGAAACCAUCUGGCUAGAGUCCGGAAGAGGAGAAUGGAAUUCCCGGUGUAGCGGUGAAAUGCGCAGAUAUCGGGAAGAACACCCGUGGCGAAGGCGGUUCUCUGGGACGGUACUGACGCUGAGACGCGAAAGCGUGGGGAGCGAACAGG
rnacentral:rRNA from 1 species